UGAAUCAUCUCCUUUCAUAACUUACUUAAGCAGUUCUCUCUAUUUUUUCUAAAUAUUUUCCUUACAUCUAUAUUACUGCUGUAUAGGAAAGUAAUUAAAUACAGCAAAUUAGAUACAAAGUAAGAAUGAACAAUGGUGAAUUUCUGUGCAAAUAUGUAUUGGUACCAUAAUUGAAUAAAUUCAUUCAUUGGAAAAGCCCAUAUUGAUAAUACAAUAGAUGACUAAAUUGAAAUCACUGACUAUAGUUUGCAACUUUAGUCCAAAAAAUGUCAUCUGUGUUGAAAUAUUAACAAUAUAUCUAAAGUGCUUCCGAAACAGCAAUUUGUAUUAUUCCUCCAGGACAUAUUAUGCAUAUUGUUACAAAAAUCCUAUUACAUGGUUGUGUGUUUUUAAAUUACACCAAUAUCCAUGCCAUGCCAGAAGACCCCUGGAAUACCUACAUACCUGAAGAAUAUUUUUCUAGUUUCACUAGGGGAAAGGAUUUGCAUCCAAAUAAAACAGAAGUUAGAGGCUGCACCUAAGAGUUCAGUUUAGCUUAAGGUUAUGAGUAUUUGCCUUAGAAGAAGCAGGAGCCUUGAUAGUUACAGCUGUUACUGGAAACCACUCUUGUUGGACAAAUAGUUAGUUAUAUUACACAGCCAUUUAUUUCUAUCGUUCUAUUAAUGGAUUAAAAAAACAUACCAAAUUUAAGCAAUGAAUACACACAACCCUAAACCGUACACUUUUGCUCCCAACCUCCAAAUCCUGAGUCUGAACCUUUCCUACUGAUUAUGGUUCAGAAAUAAAUAAAUAUUAAGAUAUACUUAUUUUGAAUAUGAUAGGCAAAGUUGUUUGGCUACCCUCCAUCCCCAUUUUGUGUCCGUAUUGUAUUUUUUCUUCUCUCUGUGUUUAGGACAAUACGGGUAUUGGGAGUGAAUCUCCCCUCACUGCAUUUAGUACCCCUUGUUCUACCCACUUUGCAGUUUGCUUUCGUCUUUCCAAAUUGAUGAAUUUCAUUCACCUGUUUGACCAUAGUUUGAAUUUACAUUUAAAAAAACCCACCAAUAAAGAUAUAAAGUAGCCAUAUGAGGAGCACAAAGCAGCUAGGAUUUUUGGAGUUCGGUUCAUCAGUCAAGCCUUUGGAAACUUUUAAGAGUCAUAGACUGGGCUAAUAAUAGCUGCAAACAUCAUGUACUUCACCACUGUGACAGAAGCAGCUCCACGGAACACCUGAAAGCACUUUGAAAACCAUAAAUUGAGAACCACUGGGGAAGGGGAAGAGUGAAUUUUUCACCUUUGCUGCUGCUAUUGUUUUGCUGGAGAUAGUUUUCUACAACAUUGGAUUAACAAGGCAGCAACAAUUCUGUUUACAUUGUGAUGAUUAUCAUCAAAAUAGAAUAGAGAAACUUAUUUUUCUCAUCUAAAAUAUUGUCCAAUGCUCCAGAAAUGGCAGGCCCUGAAAAAGGCAGAGGAUCUCUUACAGCAUUUUCAUUACAUUUAUUUAUUUCCUGUUCCUGAUGUGACAUAUUUGUCUUUGUUUGGGGUGGGUAGGAAAGAAUUUUGCUCUGUGUUUCAGUGAGACUUUUACAAUCAUUCACUGUUCAGACCAGGCUGGGCAGAAGGAUAGUAUAAUGAUUUCAAAGAGGGUAGGGCUUUUCGUUUGAUUGAUCAAACCUUAUCAGAUGCCUAUUGAAUAUGAGCGAUCACUUAUAAUACUAUUUUCCCCAAACCACACAAAGACACUUGUGCUCAAAAUUUGGAAAAUUGUGAUUGAUCAAAUUUUUUGGUUAUAAUGGAUAAUGUUUGCAACUUUAACUAUAGUAGUUCUAUUAACACCCAUUUUAAUGUCUCAUUACAGUUAAAUAAGAGCUGGCUUUCUGCUUGAUUGAAAUGUAGUGAAUAAAUGUGGCAGGUACUUGCAGCUGCUAACAAUAUUAAGUUGCUACUCCUCCAGCAUUUUCCUUCUAUCUUUACACUUGUGCUAUAGCCACAAGUCUUAACCUGAAUUUACUGCAUUGUGUUAAUUUUUUAUAUUCUCCUCAUGUUAGUCUCCGAAGACUUUCCAGCAUAUCACAAUAUCUUUUUUCAGUAACGUGCAUAUAACUUUUUGCAAAUGCUCAGAUUAGAUUUACUGGUUGUGAUGCUUUGCCUAUUAGUCUCUGUUUACAUAUGUCAAGCUCGUACACCAAACAAUACCCAGAUGUUAAGACAGAAGAGGAGAUAGAAUGUCAGAGAGAUAUUGGGGCAAAAAACAAAAGCAGCAGUCAAGGCUAAUUCAGGAUUGCACCGUAUCAAGAGGGUAAAACCAGCCCUGAUUAUACUUGGAUGAGAAGAGGCAGACAGAGGACUUGGCAUCGACUUUGAAGUUUGACUGAGGAGAAGCUGAAUGAGAUGAUACCCAUGUGUUAGAACCCUGAGUGUCAGGUUAAAGAUGAUAACAUGUUCCUGAUUCUCCAGUGGUAUGGGAAUGGAGACCAGUUUAAGUGGCAUUGUGUCAUAUUGCUAGAGUUCAUGCUUAAACUUUGAUCCUGCCACAGAUUCUGUUUUUAAAUGCACUGUACAAAUAUAUCACAUUAUCACAUUAAAUAUAUUUUUGUUUGCCC